GGCGGCGCUCACCAUCGAGACAUCUGUCCCUUUCACCUCCCACCUCGUCGACCCACCCUCGCGCGAUGUCACCACCACCCCCGCCGAGCUCGUCACCUUCUUCCGCGACAUGUCCCUCAUGCGCCGCAUGGAGAUCGCCGCCGACUCCCUCUACAAGGCCAAGCUCAUCCGCGGGUUCUGCCACCUCUACGACGGCCAGGAGGCCGUCGCCGUCGGCAUGGAGGCCGCCAUCACCCGCUCCGAUUCCAUCAUCACCGCCUACCGCGACCACUGUACCUACCUCGCCCGCGGAGGGGACCUCGUCUCCGCCUUCUCCGAGCUGAUGGGCCGCGA
rnacentral:lncRNA from 1 species